UACGAAGGGGGCUAGCGUUGCCCGGAAUCACUGGGCGUAAAGCGCACGUAGGCGGACUCUUAAGUCGGUGGUGAAAUCCUGGAGCUCAACUCCAGAACUGCCUUCGAUACUGAGAGUCUCGAGUCCGGGAGAGGUGAGUGGAACUGCGAGUGUAGAGGUGAAAUUCGUAGAUAUUCGGAAGAACACCAGUGGCGAAGGCGGCUCACUGGUCCGGUACUGACGCUGAGACGCGAAAGCGUGGGGAGCGAACAGG
rnacentral:rRNA from 1 species